UUAAGUUCAGCGGGUAUCCCUACCUGAUCCGAGGUCAAAAGUUGAAAAAAAGGCUUAAUGGAUGCUAGACCUUUGCUGAUAGAGAGUGCGACUUGUGCUGCGCUCCGAAACCAGUAGGCCGGCUGCCAAUUACUUUAAGGCGAGUCUCCAGCAAAGCUAGAGACAAGACGCCCAACACCAAGCAAAGCUUGAGGGUACAA
rnacentral:misc_RNA from 1 species